GCGGGUAUGGUUCAACGGUAGAACCUCAGCCUUCCAAGCUGAUGAUGCGGGUUCGAUUCCCGCUACCCGCUCCA
rnacentral:tRNA from 2 species